CCGGACCUGACUGCUAUCGGAUUGGUACUAAGCCAUGCGAGUCAUUGUAGCAAUACAAGGCGGACGGCUCAGUAACACGUAGUCAACCUAACUCGUGGACGUGGAUAGCCUCGGGAAACUGAGAAUAAACCACGAUAGAUCAUAGUGCCUGGAAUGGCUUAUGGUCCAAACAGUUUACUGCCAUGGGAUGGGACUGCGGCCUAUCAGCUUGUUGGUGAGGUAAUGGCCCACCAAGGCGAUUACAGGUACGGGCUCUGAGAGGAGAAGCCCGGAGAUGGGUACUGAGACACGGACCCAGGCCCUAUGGGGCGCAGCAGGCGAGAAACCUUAGCAAUGUGCGAAAGCACGACUGGGUCAGUCCGAGUGAUUCCUGAUAAAGGAGUCUUUUGCCUGUCCUAAAAGCACAGGUGAAUAAGGGGUGGGCAAGUCUGGUGUCAGCCGCCGCGGUAAUACCAGCACCUCGAGUGGUCAGGACGUUUAUUGGGCCUAAAGCAUCCGUAGCCGGCUCUGCAAGUCUUCGGUUAAAUCCACCUGCUCAACAGAUGGGCCGCUGGAGAUACUACAGAGCUAGGGAGUGGGAGAGGCAGACGGUAUUCAGUGGGUAGGGGUAAAAUCCUCUGAUCCAUUGAGGACCACCAGUGGCGAAGGCGGUCUGCCAGAACACGUUCGACGGUGAGGGAUGAAAGCUGGGGGAGCAAACCGGAUUAGAUACCCGGGUAGUCCCAGCUGUAAACGAUGCAAACUCGGUGAUGCAUUGGCUUAUGGCCAAUGCAGUGCCGCAGGGAAGCCGUUAAGUUUGCCGCCUGGGAAGUACGGACGCAAGUCUGAAACUUAAAGGAAUUGGCGGGGGAGCACCACAAGGGUGAAGCCUGCGGUUCAAUUGGAGUCAACGCCGG
rnacentral:rRNA from 1 species